GGGGGGUUAGCUCAGAGGUAGAGCGCCUGCUUUACACGCAGGAUGUCGCAGGUUCGACCCCUGCACCCCCCACCA
rnacentral:tRNA from 1 species